rnacentral:rRNA from 1 species
UACAGAGGGUGCGAGCGUUGUUCGGAAUUAUUGGGCGUAAAGGGCGCGUAGGCGGUGCGGUAAGUCACCUGUGAAAUCUCCUGGCUCAACUGGGAGCUUGCAGGCGAAACUGCCGUGCUGGAGUGUGGGAGAGGUGCGUGGAAUUCCUGGUGUAGCGGUGAAAUGCGUAGAUAUCAGGAGGAACACCUGUGGCGAAGGCGGGUCUCUGGGCCGAUACUGACGCUGAGGAGCGAAAGCGUGGGGAGCGAACAGG